rnacentral:lncRNA from 1 species
AAGAGCAGAAUUAUACUAGUUAAAAAAACGAGUGUUUAUAAGUUACGCCAUAGGUCCCUCGCUAUUAUUGUCAUGAACUUGGGAAAAUUUCUUCUUCUCUUUGCUGUUGGGAAAUCUGCUGAGAAUGGAUCUGUUUACAUUCAAUUCAAAAUCUAACUUCAUUUUUAUUGACCAUAUUGACAUUUCUUUUCUUUUUCAUCAAGUUACCCUACCGAACAGGACAACAAACAUGACAAGCACGUCAAAUGGUGGAACAAAGUAAGGAGUGUCUCAUCCAAAUCAGCAAAUUUAAAUUUUCUCUUGUGAUAUCAGGACUUACAAAGAUUUUACAGAGGGUCAAUGAAUCAAGAACACAUGGUCCUGACUAUGAGAAAAAUUAUUAUGAAUCAUUGCUAAUUGUAUUAGAAACUUUAGAGAAAUUCCUAAGUGGCCAACCAAAAGAUACAACAAGAUUUGAUGAAGCCAUGAAUGUUAAACUGUUACUGCGAUAAAUCUGCCAAUUAAUUGUUUUGCCAAAUGAAAAUCCACACUCACCACCAACUUUUCACUAUGUCCUUGUUGCUUCCCUCUACAGAAUUAUCACACAACAACUCUUUCAUCCAUCAUGGACAUAUGUGCAGUUAUGCCAGAGUUUGACACUAAAAGAAAAAGUAAAUCCACUGAAGAACUUCAAGGAGAAAGCGUCGGUUCUUACAAAAACUUGUUAUUGUCCAUGGUCCGAUUGAUUCACGCUAAUCCACUGCUCAUGUUAAACAACCAAGGGAAAGCUGGACACGAAUUUCAGAACUCUACACUAGAAUGAAUCAAUGGUCUAUUCUCGCUGGUUCAUCAACCUAAUAUGACUGACAUGGCACAGGAGGCCAUGGACGCUUUACUAGUGCUUCAUCAGCCAGAAAAGAUUGAAAUGUGGAAUCCCACGUCCAGUUUUAUCAUCAACGUCUAACCCUUCAGGAGGAGUAAUUGAUCGCAAAUCUAAUCUUGUGGUGAACAAUUUAAGUCAAAUGCAAGAUAAUAAUCAGUACUGCCCAGUGACUUCGUUUGUGGGACAUCUCUGCGGCAGUUGUUGUGUGCCAACGAAAAAUUAGGCAGAAAAAUCCUUGAAGACGUUUGGACUAAAUUAAACUAUAAAUGAUGUCCUACUGUAUUUCUUUUGUUUGAAUACAUAUU